GAGCGGCCGGCAGCCCGAGCCCAGCGGCCGAGGGGCCCGAGACGGCCUCCUUCUCUCUGUGAGGCUGCAGUCUCGCGCCCCAGUGCGCCCCAUCCUAGCACUGGUAGCUUCGGCCACUCUUAUUUUCCCAAAAGAGGAAACUGGGCUCUAGGAAGUCUCGUCAACCAAGGUGAGAAAAUGGAAACCCAGAGCUGAGCUGUGGCCCAAAGCUCACUCCUUUAUCCAGCCAGCCAAUGGAGAUGCACUGAGAAUGAAAAAUCCCACGAUGCUCAGCACAGACCUGUUUCCUGAGUGUACGUCUCCCUCAGCAUCCCUACUGAACAGUCACCAAGGCACCUCAAGUCUCAGCAUGUCCGAAACUGAACACGCGACAUUCCCCUGAGCCAGGACCCUUGGCGCUGUUCUUGGCUGCGGAGAAUCCCUCUCCUGUCUAGACCUGCGCCAGCCGGGAACAUGGGUGGGUCAGCCCUGAUGCCCCUCUUCCCCUCACCUCCUCCUCUCCGAUCUGCCAUCUAGACCCCAACAUGCCUUCAUUACCCUGCCAACUGCUCUCAGGUUUGUGCUGCAGGAGAAGCAAUCAGCACAAACCACACCAUA